ensembl:lncRNA
CUGCUAACAUCGUGUCAUUGCUGCUAUUGUCUGAUGUCAACCUCUUAAUUAUAGCUUCUGAUAGCGAUACAGUAUUUCCUUCAUUUCUGUUCAUCGCUCAACCUCUGCUGUCCCCCCGCUAAAGGUGAUUAGCGACAUUUUAUGUCAUAUCGUUCGUCUGUUUGACAGCCAGCGCAAGUGAACUGGAUUAGAUUGGACGGCCAAAUGAGAUAUGCCUGAAUCAAAUUAAAACAGCAGAGAUUAUACAGUCUUUUAAUUAUGCUAGCCACGCUCAGACAAGGAAUAUUACCUCUGUGUCUUUCCUUUCUUAUAACCUGAUGUAAAUUGACCAUUUAAAAGUCUGCGUUCAUUCAUAAAGUAACAUUUUCUGUGGCUUGAGGAAUGUGCUGAUACUAAAUUAAACCGAAGUGGUCAUAUAAAUGCCAUGUUUUUUUUUUUAAAUAGCACUGGCUUAAACAAAGAAAACAUUUCAUAUAUUUGUCAGAUGGCUGAAAUUAUGUAAGCUCUCAAAGUUGAAAAUGGUUGGAAAUGAUGCAUUCGAUGCUCUUCCUACAGGAAACCACUCCUCUGAAUUGGUGACAGUCUUUCAAGAACCCCCAUGAUCCAGCGUCCCUCCCAAUGGUACAACCUGUCAGCCCUGAACAUGGAGAGUUAUAAGGGGAAAACUUAGCGAUACGGUGACCUUGAUGAUAGUGUGACAGUCAUCGGUGAAGAACUUUGUUCCACCUGGAGGAGAUGAAGAUAUUUAGGUCCAUGUAAAUAAGCCCAUUUAGGUGCCGCUAGCAUCAGCUCAUGCUAAAAUAAAGACUGUUUUUGGAGGACGCAAUGGGCUUGCAUGAGACAAGUACUCCCAGAGAAGAGGAGGACACACCCCGGACAGGAUUACAAUUAAUAGCUUACUGCAGGUAAGUGAUUAAGAGUUACCUGAUAAUGACCCCGGGAGGCUAACUACAGAAGGAGGAGAAAUGAUGACAGCUCCUCAAGCCCAGCGCGUCAGGCCGCAAUUUAAGUUGGCCGAUUUGGAGCGCUCCCCAUGAGCCAGCAACACAAUGGAGGAGUACACUUUCCCACUCUGUAAUUAAGGUCCAUUGAGUGAAAUUACCUUCCGAUAAUUACUGGGUAGUUGUCAGCGUUUUUUAUAGCGUGAUGAGGCUCUGUCUUCCUC